rnacentral:autocatalytically_spliced_intron from 1 species
AACCGCCGUAUACCGAACGGUAUGUACGGUGGUGUGAGAGGUCGGGGGCUAGCCGCCCCCUCCUACUCGAU